UACGAAGGACCCGAGCGUUAUCCGGAUUUAUUGGGUUUAAAGGGUGCGUAGGCGGACUUAUAAGUCAGUGGUGAAAUCUCCCAGCUUAACUGGGAAACUGCCAUUGAAACUAUUUGUCUUGAGUACAUUUGAGGCGGGCGGAAUGUGUCAUGUAGAGGUGAAAUUCUUAGAUAUGACACAGAACACCAAUUGCGAAGGCAGCUCACUACACAAUCAUUGACGCUGAGGCACGAAAGCGUGGGGAUCAAACAGG
rnacentral:rRNA from 1 species